rnacentral:sRNA from 1 species
UGCAGGUUUGCACGGGAGCACUCUCAGGUCGUCUGCAAGGAUGACAGCCCCCAGCGAAUGUGAUCCCGAGUCCGGAGCUUGCUUUUUU